rnacentral:rRNA from 1 species
CCUACGGGCGGCAGCAGUGGGGAAUAUUGGACAAUGGGGGGAACCCUGAUCCAGCCAUGCCGCGUGUGUGAAGAAGGCCCUCGGGGUGUAAAGCACUUUCAGUGAGGAAGAACGCCUGGUGGUUAAUACCCAUCAGGAAAGACAUCACUCACAGAAGAAGCACCGGCUAACUCCGUGCCAGCAGCCGCGGUAAUACGGAGGGUGCGAGCGUUAAUCGGAAUUACUGGGCGUAAAGCGCGCGUAGGUGGCUUGAUAAGCCGGUUGUGAAAGCCCCGGGCUCAACCUGGGAACGGCAUCCGGAACUGUCAAGCUAGAGUGCAGGAGAGGAAGGUAGAAUUCCCGGUGUAGCGGUGAAAUGCGUAGAGAUCGGGAGGAAUACCAGUGGCGAAGGCGGCCUUCUGGACUGACACUGACACUGAGGUGCGAAAGCGUGGGUAGCAAACAGGAUUAGAUACCCCUGUAGUC